AGGGUACUUUAGAAAUAUUUGUGGUAUUUUAUAAUAGCAAGUUAGUGGUACUUUUUUUAUGGUGUAUUUUUUUUAUAAUAGCAAACAUCGGUAGUCAUAUUUGGAAAUAAUUAUCUAUUUUGUUAUUUUUAGUAAUAAUAGGAGUGGGUAAUUUAGAUGGAAUUUUAGGUGGCGUACAAUCUAGAUGUAUAUUAAGAAAGUUACUUU
rnacentral:lncRNA from 1 species